UACAGAGGUCUCAACCGUUGUUCGGAUUCAUUGGGCGUAAAGGGCGCGUAGGCGGUCGCGUAAGUCGGAUGUGAAAUCUCAGGGCUCAACCCUGAAACUGCAUUCGAUACUGCGUGGCUAGGGUACUGGAGAGGAGACUGGAAUUUACGGUGUAGCAGUGAAAUGCGUAGAUAUCGUAAGGAAGACCAGUGGCGAAGGCGAGUCUCUGGACAGUUACCGACGCUGAGGCACGAAGGCCAGGGGAGCAAACGGG
rnacentral:rRNA from 1 species